CCGAGACUCAGUGAAGUUGAAAUUGCGGUGAAGAUGCCGUAUACCCGCGGCUAGACGGAAAGACCCCGUGAACCUUUACUAUAGCUUGGCACUGAACAUUGACCCUACAUGUGUAGGAUAGGUGGGAGACUAUGAAGAUGAGACGCCAGUCUUGUUGGAGUCAACCUUGAAAUACCACCCUUGUAGUGUUGAUGUUCUAACCUGGGCCCCUAAUCGGGGUUAGGGACAGUGCCUGGUGGGUAGUUUGACUGGGGCGGUCUCCUCCCAAAGAGUAACGGAGGAGCACGAAGGUUGGCUAAGUACGGUCGGACAUCGUACGGUUAGUGUAAUGGCAUAAGCCAGCUUAACUGCGAGACAGACAC
rnacentral:rRNA from 1 species